GGCCAGGUGGCGGAGUGGUAAUGCAUGCGAGACAGAUACAGUACCUAAUAAUGUCCCCUCGCAAGGUCUCUGUUCAAUUCGGAGUCUGGCCU